rnacentral:sRNA from 1 species
UCCAUGUGUAUAGUCGGUGUUUGUGAUGC